UACGGGGGGGGCAAGCGUUGUUCGGAAUUACUGGGCGUAAAGGGCGCGUAGGCGGCCUGCUAAGUCGAACGUGAAAUCCCUGGGCUCAACCCAGGAACUGCGUCCGAUACUGGUUGGCUUGAAUCCGGGAGAGGGAUGUGGAAUUCCAGGUGUAGCGGUGAAAUGCGCAGAUAUCGGGAGGAACACCAAUGGCGAAGGCAGCUCGCUGGGACGUUACUGACGCUGAGACGCGAAAGCGUGGGGAGCAAACAGG
rnacentral:rRNA from 1 species